rnacentral:rRNA from 1 species
CCCUUAGAUGUCCUGGGCCGCACGCGCGCUACACUGAGUGUCUGAGAUACGAGUCUGCCUGGUCCGGCAAGGUCUAGGUAAUCGCUAAAAGACACAUCAUGCUUGGGAUAGAUUAUUGCAAAUAUUAAUCUUGAACGAGGAAUUCCUAGUAAGCGCAAGUCAACAGCUUGCGUUGAUUACGUCCCUGCCCUUUGUACACACCGCCCGUCGCUACUACUGAUUGGAUGUUUAAGCGAGGUUCUCGAACUGCUAGCAACUUAGCUUCGGUGAGGUCGCAGUGUGGGAAGUGAACCUAGCCUUGGUGUCUAGAGGAAGUAAAAGUCGUAACA